AUCAGUAAAAAUCAAACCAGAAUGAAAACGACUGCUUUGCCCAUAUUCGGCUGCUCUAAUGAAACUUGGCUUCAGUGGGGGAAGUUCUUCACUUGCAGCUCACAGAUGGAUGAAUAAUUUAUACAUCAAUCAGUUAGUAACCAAAUUUCUUUCCUCAGGGAGAGCAUUUUGUGAAUUCCUGGGUCAGAAGAGAAUUACCUGUGGUAUCAGCUUAUAGCAAUGACAGUGUCUUUGCUAAUGAAGGACUAAGAAUGGACACGUUUAAGGACUGGCCCCAUGAAUCACCUAUGGCUGUUGAAGCUCUGGUCAAAGCAGGUCUUUUCUACACAGG